AAAGUGAAACAAUUUUCCCAACACAGGACAAUAAAGCUCUGAGUCACUUCGUCUCAUUUCGAAAGUUAAAGGAUUUUAUUGGCGUAAGAGGCGAGGGGCACACCGAAUGGACUAGGCAAAGAGUACGCACCCACCAUAUUCCCCAGUCAGUGGAGGAGAGUGUCGAGUGACACACACACACCGUUUGAUUUGAUUUGAUUGUAGCUGCCGGUAAUGGACAGGACUCGCAGGAGAUGAAAAGAACAAGAGGACCAAAAGAAGAAACCUGCAUCUUUAUUCUGACGAACCCUCGGAAACAGGAUGAAACCGCUCAGCCACUUCAACGUGGGUCUACCCUGCUUGAUUAACUGAUGCAUUAGCCUGUACAGUCAGACCAUCUUUAAACAUGUCUGACAACGUGAGUCCACAAACCUUGCCAGAGGCCAUGGCAGAGACACAGUUGACAGUGGAGCAAGGUGACACUGGGCAGAGUAAUGUUCUUCAAUCACCUACAAAACAGACAUUCAAGUCAGCUUUAAAUGACACUACUGCCAUUAUAACAGACUUAGGGGACAAGUCCUCCAGCUCCUCUCAUCAGUCCGUUUCAGAGGAAGGAACAAAGGCCGCUGGUCAAAAGGCUGAUGCCAAAAAAACUAAAAGCAAGAAAGAUAUGGCAACCUUGGACCAGAUUGUGAACCAGAAUAGGCAACUCAAACUGAAAGUGGAAGCUGACCUAAAAGGCCAGGACUCUGCGCAAACUACUGCUGCUGUUAAGGAUGUGAUUUUUGGUUCUCAGAAGACAGAGAGCAUAGGUUCCAGUGUUGACCCACCGGAAGUGGAGCCCAUGGAGGUUGAGCAGUCUGCCGAUGGGAAAGGAGAUGCCUCCUUUUCACCAUCUAGUCCAGAUUUAAAGAUGGAACCAAAGGACAACACAAAUGAUGCCUCUGAAACCUC